rnacentral:rRNA from 1 species
UACGAAGGGUGCUAGCGUUGUUCGGAAUUACUGGGCGUAAAGGGCGCGUAGGCGGCUCUUCAAGUCAGAGGUGAAAUCCCCAGGCUCAACCUGGGAAUUGCCUUUGAAACUGAAGAGCUAGAGUGUCGGAGGGGAUAGCGGAAUUGCUAAUGUAGAGGUGAAAUUCGUAGAUAUUAGCAGGAACACCGGUGGCGAAGGCGGCUAUCUGGACGACAACUGACGCUGAGGCGCGAAAGCAUGGGGAUCAAACAGG